rnacentral:rRNA from 1 species
AUUGAACGCUGGCGGCAGGCCUAACACAUGCAAGUCGAACGGUAACAGGAAACAGCUUGCUGUCUCGCUGACGAGUGGCGGACGGGUGAGUAAUGUCUGGGAAACUGCCUGAUGGAGAGGGAUAACUACUGGAAACGGUAGCUAAUACCGCAUAACGUCGCAAGACCAAAGAGGGGGACCUUCGGGCCUCUUGCCAUAGGAUGAGCCAAGAUGGGAUUAGCUAGUAGGUGGGGUAACGGCUCACCUAGGCGACGAUCCCUAGCUGGUCUGAGAGGAUGACCAGCCACACUGGAACUGAGACACGGUCCAGACUCCUACGGGAGGCAGCAGUGGGGAAUAUUGCACAAUGGGCGCAAGCCUGAUGCAGCCAUGCCGCGUGUAUGAAGAAGGCCUUCGGGUUGUAAAGUACUUUCAGCGGGGAGGAAGGGAGUAAAGUCAAUACCUUUGCUCAUUGACGUUACCCGCAGAAGAAGCACCGGCUAACUCCGUGCCAGCCGCCGCGGUAA